rnacentral:rRNA from 1 species
GAUGCCUCGGUGUCGAGAGGCGAAGAAGGACGUGGCACUCUGCGAUAAGCUGUGGGGAGGUGAGAGCAACCUUUGAUCCGCAGAUUUCCGAAUGGGGAAACCCACUCCGUAAGGAGUAUCCCGCAAGGGAGGCGAACCCGGGGAACUGAAACAUCUCAGUACCCGGAGGAAAGGACAUCAACCGAGACUCCGUUAGUAGUGGCGAGCGAACGCGGACCAGGCCUGUGGCAUUCAAGUAAGAACUGGAAGCACAUGGAAAGGUGCGCUGCAAAGGGUGAUAGCCCCGUACAGGUAGAAAUCUUGAAUGUCCUCGAGUAGGGCGGGACACGUGAAAUCCUGUCUGAACGUGGGGGGACCACCCUCCAAGCCUAAGUACUCCUUGUCGACCGAUAGCGAACAAGUACCGUGAGGGAAAGGUGAAAAGCACCCCGACGAGGGGAGUGAAACAGACCCUGAAACCGGAUGCCUACAAACAGUUGGAGGGCUUCGUGCCUGACAGCGUACCUUUUGUAUAAUGGGUCAGCGACU